rnacentral:tRNA from 1 species
CUCCGCGUAGCGCAGCCUGGUAGCGUACCUGACCUGGGAUCAGGAGGCCGGAGGUUCAAAUCCUCCCACGGAGACCA